UGGAUAGCUUCAGCACUUCAUGCAGCAGUUAAUUUUGGGCAAUACCCUUAUGCUGGUUAUCUCCCUAAUCGGCCUACAUUAAGCCGGAAAUUCAUGCCAGAGCCAGGAAGUGCUGAGUAUGAAGAGCUGAAGAGAAAUCCAGAUAAUGUAUUCCUCAAAACAAUCACUCCUCAGCUGCAGACAUUGGUUGGAAUUUCCCUUAUAGAGCUCUUGUCAAGGCAUGCUUCGGAUACCCUUUACCUCGGACAGAGGGACUCACCUGAAUGGACAAAGGAUCAAGAACCACUUUCAGCUUUUGAGAGGUUCGGAAAGAAGUUGGGUGAGAUCGAGGAUCGAAUUAUUCAGAUGAAUGGUGAUAAUCAGAAAUGGAAGAACAGGUCAGGGCCUGUUAAAGUUCCAUAUACUUUGCUCUUUCCCACCAGUGAAGAGGGACUCACAGGCAAAGGAAUCCCCAACAGUGUGUCUAUAUAGAACUUAUUAUUGUAUCCCCUUGUUGUGCUUGUUUCUUCAUAUUAAUUCCCAAUAAUAUCACCAAAUAAAAUUCUAGUUACAGUAGGGCUGUAAUGUUGUUGGAGUUACUGUAAUUAUAUUGGCUAUAAUGUUGUUGGAGUUAUCGUAAUUAUAUUGGCUAUAAUGUUGUCGGAGUUACUGUAAUGUUGUUGAAGUUAUAUGCUAUAUUCAUAAACUUUUUUUUGUAAUGUUGUUGGAGUUAUUUUUAUGUAAUGUUGUUGGCGUUAUAUGUUAUAUAUGUGUUUGGAGUUAAUGUUGUUGGAGUUAUUCUAGUGACAAAAACUGGUACUCGUAUUUGACAGGUAAUCAAGAGUAACAGGUCAUUCGUAUUGAACCACCAUGACAUCAUUAUGCCAUACUUGAGGAGCAUUAACAUGUCCGCAAACACAAAAGCCUAUGCCUCAAGAACUCUGCUCUUCCUACAAGAUAAUGGAACUUUGAAGCCCCUAGCAAUUGAACUAAGCUUGCCACAUCCAGACGGAGAUCAAUUUGGUGCUGUUAGCAAAGUAUAUACACCAGCUGACCAAGGUGUUGAAUGUUCUAUUUGGCAGUUGGCCAAAGCCUAUGCAGCUAAUGACACGGGCAUUCAUCAGCUCAUUAGCCACUGGUAAAACCUGUUAGAAAGUUUUAAAUGAAAUACAACUUACCCAUAACCAAAUUCAAUGAAUUAUUUAGUAGUUGGAGACAUUUUGUUAUUACCUUCUCUGGUUAAUUACGCAUGCAGUGAUGGAGCCAUUUGUGAUUGCAACAAAUAGGCAACUAAGUGUGCUUCAUCCCAUUCAUAAACUUCUUCAUCCUCAUUUCCGUGACACGAUGAACAUAAAUGAUUUAGCAAGACAGAUCUUGGUAAUUGUGGUGGUUUUGUUGAGAUGUUCCUAUUUCCUGCCAAAUAUUCCAUGGAAAUGUCAGCAGUAGCUUACAAAGACUAGGUUUUCCCUGAACAAGCACUUCCUUCUGAUGUCAUCAAAGGUAAUUGAAAAGCCACAAAAAGCACAUACCUGUACUAAAUACAGAAGAUAAACUCACUAAAAUAACCUCUCUCUUUUUGUCAUCCUGUUAACAUGACCAUAAUGUUGUUCAAUUAUAGAGUAGUUGUUGAAGACUUGACCUGUCCACAUGGCGUUUGCUUAUUGAUUCAGGACUAUCCAUAUGCUGUUGAUGGCUUGGAAAUUUGGUCAGCAAUCAAAAGCUGGGUAACAUAAUAUUGCAACUUCUACUACAAAUCAGAUGAGACAGUUCAGAAAGACGGUGAACUCCAAGCCUGGUGGAAUGAAAUUCGUGAAGGAGGACAUGGUGACAAGAAAGAUGAGCCCUGGUGGCCUAAAAUGCAAACUUUGCAAGAGCUCAUAGAUUCUUGGAUAGCUUCAGCACUUCAUGCAGCCGUCAAUUUGGGCAAUACCCUUAUGGUGGUUACUUAGUUAAUCACCCUACAUUAAGCCGAAAGUUCAUGCCAGAAGCAGGAAGUGCUGAGUAUGAAGAGCUCAAGACAAAUCCAGACAAGGUAUUCCUCAAGACAAUUGUUCCUCAGUUGCAGACAUUGCUUGGAAUUUCCGUCUUAGAGAUCUUGUCAAGACAUGCUUCAUCAGAUGAGGUUUACUUGGGACAAAGGGAUACCCCUGAAUGGACAAAGGAUCAAGAACCACUUUUAGCUUUUGAGAGGUUUGGAAAAAAGCUGAAUGAUAUCGAGGAUCGAAUUAUGCAUAUGAAUGGUGAUCAUAAAAAAUGGAAGAACAGGUCAGGGCAUGUUAAAGUUCCAUAUACUUUGAUCUUCCCCACAAGUGAAGAGGGACUCACAGGCAAAGGAAUUCCUAACAGCGUGUCUAUAUAAACGUAAUGUUUCUUGAUAUUAAUUCCCAAUAGCUUUUGCAGUCAAUUUUGGGAAUUAGUCUUAUGGUGGUUACCUUGUUAAUCGCCCUAGUUUAAGCAGAAAAUUCAUGCCAGAACCUGGAAGUGCUGAAUAUGAAGAACUCAAGAUAAAUCUAGACAAGGUAUUCCUUAAAACAGUGGUUCCUCAGCAGCUGACACUGCUUGGCAUGUCUGUCUUAGAACUCUUGUCAAGGCACGCUUCGGAUACACUUAACCUCGGGCAGAGGGACUCACCUGAAUGGACAAAGGAUCAAG
rnacentral:lncRNA from 1 species